AUGUUGGAUCAUUCCGGAGGAAAUUAUGCGAAAGCUUUGCAAAAUUAUUAUGAAGCUACGCAACUAGAAAUCAAUGCCUAUGAUCAAAGUUAUAUACUCUAUAACAUUCGCCUUAUACACACAGGCAAUGGAGAGCAUACAAAGACUUUGGAAUAUUAUUUCUGGGCACUAGAACGAAACCCCUUCUUACCGUCAGCUUUUAAUAAUAUGGCCGUGAUCUGUCAUUACAUGCGGAAGGAAGGAUACUUCACGAGAACCAAAAAGCGAAGAAACUAUGGUCUGUCUCUAGUUCCAAAGAUCCGAAUCCCCCUCCAGUACUCCUCGGGCCUCCUUUUAUAG
rnacentral:rRNA from 1 species